rnacentral:rRNA from 1 species
GAUGAACGCUGGCGGCGUGCCUAAUACAUGCAAGUCGAGCGAAUGGAUUAAGAGCUUGCUCUUAUGAAGUUAGCGGCGGACGGGUGAGUAACACGUGAGUAACCUGCCCAUAAGACUGGGAUAACUCCGGGAAACCGGGGCUAAUACCGGAUAACAUUUUGAACCGCAUGGUUCGAAAUUGAAAGGCGGCUUCGGCUGUCACUUAUGGAUGGACUCGCGUCGCAUUAGCUAGUUGGUGAGGUAACGGCUCACCAAGGCAACGAUGCGUAGCCGACCUGAGCGGGUGAUCGGCCAAACUGGGACUGAGACACGGCCCAGACUCCUACGGGAGGCAGCAGUAGGGAAUCUUCCGCAAUGGACGAAAGUCUGACGGAGCAACGCCGCGUGAGUGAUGAAGGCUUUCGGGUCGUAAAACUCUGUUGUUAGGGAAGAACAAGUGCUAGUUGAAUAAGCUGACACCUUGACGGUACCUAACCAGAAAGCCACGGCUAACUACGUGCCAGCAGCCGCCGUAA